AAGACCUCGCGCGGAUUGGAGCGGCCGAUAUCAGAUUAGGUAGUUGGUGAGGUAAAGGCUCACCAAGCCGACGAUCUGUAGCUGGUCUGAGAGGACGACCAGCCACACUGGGACUGAGACACGGCCCAGACUCCUACGGAGGCAGCAGUGGGGAAUUUUGGACAAUGGGCGCAAGCCUGAUCCAGCAAUGCCGCGUGCAGGAUGAAGGCCUUCGGGUUGUAAACUGCUUUUGUACGGAACGAAACGGUGAGCUCUAAUACAGUUUGCUAAUGACGGUACCGUAAGAAUAAGCACCGGCUAACUACGUG
rnacentral:rRNA from 1 species